GCGGGGAGAAAGCCGGGCACGACUGGGACGGAAAAUGAAAGAGCGUCCCUGAGCAGGAGCAGAGCGCUUCCGUUUCAGACCCCCCUCCUGUACGGCUCUGGGAGGAUUUCCAAUCAAGGUUGACCCCCGACCGCUCUCGUUUCAAGAAGCAAGCGCUGUUUCAUUCCGAGGACGCCCGCGAAUGGGGAAGUUUCAGCGGAGGCAAGGCAAGGCGCCUGGCAAAGCCUGCCCUGCACUGGAAAACAACAUCGCCUGCCCAGGUUUGAAAGGCUGACUGACUUUGCACCUAGUAGCCAGAGUUUCUGCUUUUUAAUUUGCCCCUAUGCCUCCUAAAUUAAUUUUAUUUUAUAUUUAGCAUUUCUGGUACCCGUGAGAGUAAGAUAAGGAGGAUGUGUAUUUCCCAUUAUAGCUAUGGCCUUCGCUUUUCUUCCGGAGGCUUUUCAUCCAGAGGAAAUGGAAGCACUACCACUGUACAAUACGCUCCAAUUCUGCUUGGUCUGACUGUUGCUGUUUUUGUUCAGUAGCUGCUGAGUCUCUGUGACCUAAUGGACAUCCCUUUCGCCAGGAUUGUAGCAGAAGGACUUUUUCCAGAUGGAGAAUAUAUUACAUGAAGAGAAUGCAUCUAGAUCAACAAAUAAACGCAGGAGAUCCUUUCACUUUAAGAAUUUUAUUUUGUCAUUGGAAAACAAAGGUGAAAAGGGAAAAAAAAACGCAACUGGAAAAGAAAGGAAGAAGCAAAGAUCUCAAGUUACAAAAGGAUAUAAAAAUCAAGGAGAUCUUUGGCAGAAAAGGCUUUCUAAAACAGCCACUUCUUCUUUUUGGAAGAGGCUUGUUCUCUGGAAAACAGGGAAGAAAGGAAAGAGCCAAACCUCUCCCUAGGACAUCCCAGUUCAUUGCGCCAUCCAGGACUUGCCAUGUUACAAACAGCCACUCCCAGGCAGCAAACAGUGGAGGGAGGGAACUGGGAAUUUCCCUGCUCUGGAGUAAAGUUUACACAUUAGAAACCGUCUGUAUCUUUGAUCUGGUGACCCAAAUGGUUUGCUCCCUAGCAGGCCCGCAACUAGGGUCAAGAUUUAAAGUCAACAUACAAAGUGAUUUCCUCUUCUCACACUGGCUCCAUAGUCUCAAAAAUGGCUGAAGUUGCCCCAAGGCUCAUCUUAUGACAAGAGGAAUGAUUCACUGGUGGUCAGCCUCAAGCAGCAAUGUUUUACUCCCUCUCACAAGAUUAACUUUCCCAUUUAGAUGUUAGGAUGUCCGACUGGAGCACAUCACAGGCUUUCCAGAGAUCUUCAGGUCAUCAAAAGGCAAAAGUAGCCCAAUCUACUGCAACUCAUUCCAGAGAGAUUCUCACAUCAUCAUUGCCAUCUGCCAGAUCUUGAGCUGUCUCAUUUUCCAUAUUCCGCAGUAAGGUGUCUGCUCCUGAAUGGCAGAGGACUGCAGCAAUGGCAGCGUCAUUCCUGCCUACAGCCAGGUGCAGUGGGGUACAUCCAUUGUACAUCUGUGAAUCCACCUGGGCUCCCAAUCGCAGGAGGUGCCUCACAGCCAGCUCAUCAUGGUUCUCCACGGCCAAAUGGAGGGGAGUCUUUCCACUUGUGCCAUCCUGAGAGAGCAAGAGAUGGGAUCAGUUAUUUCAGGAGACCUCGUGAGCAAAAUUCCAAAGAACGUACCUUUCUGUGUAGAUACAGCAAGAAACUUAGAUCUUGCACUGUAAAAGCCUGCCGCUUCUUGGCCUUGGAGUAAAAAGGACCAACAAUGAAAACCAGCUCCAAACAAAAUAAGAGAAAGAGAAAGCUCCUUCUGGGCCACAAUGCACCUGAGGGAUUCAAGCAAACUGCUCAAACCUAGAAGAGCCUGUGGUUGGGAUCACAAACGCAAAGCAGUUCCUAAGUCAGGGUCUGAACGUUCUGUUCCUGGAGAUGCAAAAAGUGAACAAGGAGGCUCCACUGCACUCAUGUUAGUAUACCUGUCCAAUAGGAAGCAAUCAGGGUUGUAUAUAAUUUCUGAAACAGUCAUGACUCCUUAGAAUCAAAA